AGAUCUUCUUUGCGCAUGCGGAUACCGCUGCCCGCUUCCACCUCUAACCCAGGCUCAGAGUAGCUGCUGUUUCUGAGAGAACGAUUCGUAGGACAGCCCCUGACGCCAUUCCCUUUUGCCCUUCUUUCUGCGGGCCUUUCCGGUACUUGAGCGGUGUCCAGAGCGUGGCCAGUUCUCGUCUAUCUGGCUGCCUUUAGGGAGCGGUGCCUAGCGUUGGCCAAUAGUUGGCUGUCGAAAGUGCCGGCCCCCGCGCCGGCGCCUGCAGCAGCCGGGUGGGAAGGCUCAAGAUGGCGUGCCUGUUGGAGACCCCAAUCCGCAUGAGCGUCCUUUCGUUUUUUUAAAGAAAAAGACGACUUUCACCUUUCACUAUGUUGCUCUUGAACCAGGACCAGGAAUGAAAGUUACUGGGAGAUAACUUCGAAGGAUUUUGCAACAAAUUCGAGCUGUCCGACUCUGAGAAUGGAAGUAACAGCUAGCAGUCGCCACUAUGUUGACAGGCUAUUUGACCCUGAUCCCCAGAAAGUUCUACAAGGUGUCAUAGACAUGAAAAAUGCUGUAAUUGGAAACAACAAGCAGAAAGCCAAUCUCAUUGUUUUAGGAGCUGUUCCAAGAUUGUUGUACUUGCUUCAGCAAGAAACCUCAAGCACAGAGCUGAAAACUGAAUGUGCAGUGGUGUUGGGAAGUCUUGCUAUGGGUACUGAAAACAAUGUCAAGUCUCUACUGGACUGCCAUAUUAUCCCUGCCUUAUUGCAAGGACUACUGUCCCCAGACCUGAAGUUUAUUGAAGCUUGCCUCCGAUGCCUGCGUACCAUCUUCACCAGUCCUGUCACUCCAGAGGAGCUACUGUAUACAGAUGCCACAGUGAUACCACACCUCAUGGCACUGCUUAGCAGGUCCCGCUAUACCCAGGAGUACAUCUGUCAGAUCUUCUCACACUGCUGUAAAGGGCCAGAUCAUCAAACAAUUUUAUUUAACCACGGUGCAGUUCAGAAUAUUGCUCACCUACUAACCUCACUGUCCUACAAAGUUCGAAUGCAAGCACUGAAAUGUUUCUCAGUUUUAGCUUUUGAAAACCCCCAGGUAUCGAUGACCCUGGUAAAUGUUUUGGUUGAUGGAGAAUUGUUACCACAGAUUUUUGUGAAGAUGUUACAGAGGGAUAAGCCUAUUGAGAUGCAGCUCACAUCAGCAAAAUGUUUAACUUACAUGUGUAGAGCUGGAGCAAUUCGGACAGAUGAUAACUGUAUUGUAUUAAAGACAUUACCUUGUUUGGUUCGAAUGUGCAGUAAGGAGAGAUUACUAGAGGAGAGAGUUGAAGGAGCUGAGACACUUGCCUAUCUGAUUGAACCAGAUGUUGAGCUACAGAGAAUCGCUAGCAUAACUGAUCACCUCAUUGCCAUGCUUGCUGAUUAUUUCAAGUAUCCCAGCUCAGUGAGUGCCAUCACUGAUAUUAAAAGGCUUGAUCAUGAUUUAAAACAUGCUCACGAACUCCGCCAGGCUGCAUUCAAGCUCUAUGCCUCUCUUGGAGCAAAUGAUGAAGACAUCCGGAAGAAGAUCAUUGAGACUGAAAAUAUGAUGGACCGAAUUGUGACUGGCUUGUCUGAGUCUAGUGUCAAGGUGCGGUUAGCUGCCGUCAGAUGUUUGCACAGUUUAUCCAGAUCUGUGCAGCAGCUUCGAACCAGUUUCCAGGAUCAUGCUGUUUGGAAACCUUUAAUGAAGGUUUUACAAAAUGCACCAGAUGAAAUCCUAGUGGUAGCAUCUUCCAUGCUGUGUAAUCUUCUUCUUGAAUUUUCUCCAAGCAAAGAGCCAAUUUUGGAAUCAGGAGCCGUAGAGCUACUUUGUGGAUUAACUCAGAGUGAAAAUCCUGCUUUACGAGUGAAUGGAAUUUGGGCUUUAAUGAAUAUGGCAUUUCAGGCUGAACAAAAAAUAAAAGCAGAUAUUUUACGAAGCUUGAGUACUGAACAGCUAUUCCGGUUAUUAUCAGAUUCAGAUUUGAAUGUGCUGAUGAAGACAUUGGGACUUCUUAGAAAUCUCCUCUCCACUCGUCCUCACAUAGAUAAAAUAAUGAGUACUCAUGGAAAGCAAAUUAUGCAAGCCGUCACUCUUAUUCUAGAAGGGGAACAUAACAUUGAGGUCAAAGAGCAGACACUGUGCAUCUUAGCCAACAUAGCGGAUGGGACAACAGCAAAAGAUCUUAUUAUGACCAAUGAUGAUAUCCUACAGAAAAUCAAGUAUUACAUGGGAGCCCAAACUGGACAUCUCCUUAAAAGUGUUGGCAGUUAGAAGAAGAAAGAAUCACUAGCCAUAGAAUUCUACUGGAGGAAGCCACAUCCAUUUCUUUGUCUCUGCUUAGUUGAAAUAUAGUCCUACAUGAGAAGAUAAGUCUGUCUUAGCCUUGAAAAAACCAUUGAGCAUAUUUUGCCAUUGAUACUCCCUCAGAUGUGCAUAAAUUAUUUAAACAUACUAGAAAUUUUUUUUAUUGACCAAUAGGACAAUCAUCUAUAAAGUUUAUUUUAUUAUUGAGUCCUUUUUCAUUCAGGUGAAAACACCCUAUCCAAAGCAACUAGAAAUGGUUGUACUUUCAGUACAUAAAGGAAAAUAAAUAAGAAUUGUAUUUAGAAGAAUAGGAGGCUCAUCAGUGAUAGUAAAGACAUUUGAGAAAUCAACUAGCGAUUUCAUCAAGUUUUGGGGGAUAUUCCUUUAGAAAUAGGAGUAAUUUAAUUAUUCCAGAAGCUGAAGGUAUUAUAUAAUGCUUCUUGUUUUCAGCAAGUUGUGUCAGAGGAGUAAACCAUUUAUAGAUUGUGUGUGUGUGAAAGUCUAGGUGUUACAGAACUUCCUGACCAUAUAUUCACUUUCUUCCCCAAAGGAAUUAUUGGGCCAUUUGAAUAAGAUAACCAGUAGCUUAAGAGAUAAAUACCAAAUGCACAUCCACCCAGUGUAUGUUGGCUGUUGGUGACCUGGAAACAUAGCCUAAGUCAAAAGCAUAGAAUUGUCAUAUGACAGUGUUUCCUCAUGCAUGGAUUGAAUCAUAAAUUGCAAACUGUACCCAUAGCCCUAGAGGUGUUUUGUUUGUCCAGCCAGAUGGUUUUUUAAAUUUGAAUUUGAAUGUCUUUUGGCAAGGCUUGUACUCCUCAAUUUGCCAGAUUCUCCACUGUCCCUUGUUAUCUUUAGCCCAACCCUUUUACUCAUUAGUGUUAACUUCAUGGCCCCUCAAGACAUUUGACUUUGAGGACUCUUCUUCAGACUUUUUUUUUUUUUUUUUUUUUUUUUGAGACGGAGUCUCGCUCUGUCACCCAGGCUGAGUGCAAUGGCGCGAUCUCGGCUCACUGCAACCUCUGCCUCCCAGGUUCAAGCGAUUCUCCUGCCUCAGCCUCCCUAGUAGCUGAGAUUACAGGCGCCCGCCACUACACCCGGCAAAUUUUUGUAUUUUUAGUAGAGACGGGGUUUCACUGUGUUAAUCAUCCUAGUCUCGAACACCUGACCUCAAACUUCCACCUGCCUUGGUCUCCCAAAGUGCUGGGAUUACAGGCAUGAGCCACCUCACCUGGCCCUGCUUCAGACUUUUAGGUUAUAGGAAUUGCCUAUGGUAGGUCCCCCCAAAAAAAGAUCUAAAAUGAGAUUACCACCAUUUUGAUUUUUUUUUCUUUUUUUGUAUUAAUAGGGCCAUUCACAUGUUAAACUGCAGCUUGCAGCCAUGUUUUGUAUAUCAAACCUCAUAUGGAAUGAAGAGGAAGGUUCACAAGAACGCCAGGAUAAAUUACGAGACAUGGGCAUCGUAGAUAUUCUACACAAACUGAGUCAGUCACCAGAUUCAAACCUUUGUGACAAGGCAAAGAUGGCACUGCAGCAGUACCUGGCAUGAUGGGAGUGCCCCUGGGCACCUGUGAGCAUCCCACCUCCUUGUUUAAGGAAGUACAGGAACCAGCCUCAUUUGAUUCCUUCUAUUUGCACAAGUCACCUUGGACUGCAGGGAGCUGUUUUGCAAAAGCAGUUUAGUAGGCUUAGAUCUCAAAUUCAUCUUGAGAACAUUUUUUUGAGGUAGUCAUUUCCUCAGAAGACUCUUGUGUUUUGUUUUGGUUUUUUUUUUCUGAGCUACUCGGACUCUUUAUUAGAACAAUCAAUCAUUUUCCUUUGGACCUACAAUUUUUGCCUAUGCUGCAGCCACUUUGUGAGUGAGAAUGAAUAUGUCUGUGUGAACACACAGGCAUGCGUGUGUAUGUGCACGUACAUGGGCCAGAAUGAAUGGAUGUGUGUGUGUGAGGGAUACCUCAGAUUUUUCUUUUCUUAUUUUGUGUGAAAAUCUCUUUUCUACAGAUUUUCCAGGGUUUAAGCAUUGCUUGCUGUAUAAAAAACUUUACUGAAUUAUAUACAGUUUGAAUGAAAUGUUAUUUUAAAAACAAAACAAUUGUUAAGUGUUCCAUAAAGGUUAUGUUGAAUUUUGGUCAGAUGAAUAUUUGUAAGUAAAAAAUAUAUGCAUUUCUGAACCUCAA